rnacentral:rRNA from 1 species
CCUACGGGCGGCUGCAGUGGGGAAUAUUGGACAAUGGGGGCAACCCUGAUCCAGCCAUGCCGCGUGUGUGAAGAAGGCCUUCGGGUUGUAAAGCACUUUUGUUGGGGAAGAAACCGGCCGGGUUAAUACCCUGGUUGAAUGACGGUACCCAAAGAAUAAGCACCGGCUAACUUCGUGCCAGCAGCCGCGGUAAUACGAAGGGUGCAAGCGUUACUCGGAAUUACUGGGCGUAAAGCGUGCGUAGGCGGUUUGUUAAGUCUGCUGUGAAAGCCCUGGGCUCAACCUGGGAACUGCAGUGGAUACUGGCGAGCUAGAGUGUGUCAGAGGAUGGUGGAAUUCCCGGUGUAGCGGUGAAAUGCGUAGAGAUCGGGAGGAACACCAGUGGCGAAGGCGGCCAUCUGGGACAACACUGACGCUGAGGCACGAAAGCGUGGGGAGCAAACAGGAUUAGAUACCCCGGUAGUC